UACGGAGGGUGCGAGCGUUUGUCCGGAAUCACUGGGCGUAAAGGGCGCGUAGGCGGCUUGGGAAGUCCGUGGUGAAAGCUCGUGGCUCAACUGCGAGUCGGCCAUGGAUACUCCUAAGCUCGAGUCGACUAGAGGCAGAUGGAAUUCCGGGUGUAGCGGUGGAAUGCGUAGAGAUCCGGAAGAACACCGGUGGCGAAGGCGGGUCUCUGGGCCGAUACUGACGUGGAGGAGCGAAAGCGUGGGGAGCGAACAGG
rnacentral:rRNA from 1 species